AGCAGCCGCGGUAAUUCCAGCUCCAAUAGCGUAUAUUAAAGUUGUUGCAGUUAAAAAGCUCGUAGUUGAAUUUCGGAAUCAGUACGCCGGUCGUGCCUCCGGUAUGAACUGGUGUCACUGGUUCCUCCCUUCUGAAGAACCAUCAUGCCAUUAACUUGGUGUGGUGGGAAAUCAGGACUGUUACUUUGAAAAAAUUAGAGUGUUUAAAGCAGGCUCACGCUUGAAUACAUUAGCAUGGAAUAAUGAAAUAGGACGUUGAUCUUAUUUUGUUGGUUUCUAGGAUUGACGUAAUGAUUAAUAGGGAUAGUUGGGGGCAUUAGUAUUCAAUUGUCAGAGGUGAAAUUCUUGGAUUUAUUGAAGACUAACUACUGCGAAAGCAUUUGCCAAGGAUGUUUUCAUUAAUCAAGAACGAAAGUUAGGGGAUCGAAGACGAUCAGAUACCGUCGUAGUCUUAACCAUAAACUAUGCCGACUAGGGAUCGGAUGAUGUUAAUUUUUUAAUGACUCA
rnacentral:rRNA from 1 species